rnacentral:rRNA from 2 species
UAGCUGGUCUGAGAGGAUGACCAGCCACACUGGAACUGAGACACGGUCCAGACUCCUACGGGAGGCAGCAGUGGGGAAUAUUGCACAAUGGGCGCAAGCCUGAUGCAGCCAUGCCGCGUGUAUGAAGAAGGCCUUCGGGUUGUAAAGUACUUUCAGCGGGGAGGAAGGUGUUGUGGCUAAUAACCGCAGCAAUUGACGUUACCCGCAGAAGAAGCACCGGCUAACUCCGUGCCAGCAGCCGCGGUAAUACGGAGGGUGCAAGCGUUAAUCGGAAUUACUGGGCGUAAAGCGCACGCAGGCGGUCUGUCAAGUCGGAUGUGAAAUCCCCGGGCUCAACCUGGGAACUGCAUUCG